GAUGAACGCUAGCGGCAGGCCUAACACAUGCAAGUCGAGGGGUAACAUAGAAAAGCUUGCUUUUCUGAUGACGACCGGCGCACGGGUGCGUAACGCGUAUACAACCUACCUUUUAGCGGGGAAUAGCCCAGGGAAGCUUGGAUUAAUGCCCCAUAGUAUAUAGACUUCUCCUGAAGUUUAUAUUAAACAUUUAUGGCUAUUAGAUGGGUAUGCGUCCUAUUAGUUAGUUGGUAAGGUAACGGCUUACCAAGGCAGCGAUAGGUAGGGGUCCUGAGAGGGAGAUCCCCACACUGGUACUGAGACACGGACCAGACUCCUACGGGAGGCAGCAGUGAGGAAUAUUGGACAAUGGGCGAGAGCCUGAUCCAGCCAUGCCGCGUGCAGGAAGACUGCCCUAUGGGUUGUAAACUGCUUUUACAGAGGAAGAACCACCCCCACGUGUGGGGGUUUGACGGUACUCUGCGAAUAAGGAUCGGCUAACUCCGUG
rnacentral:rRNA from 1 species